rnacentral:tRNA from 1 species
ACCUCGGUGGUGUAGUGGUCAAGACGCUCGCCUGGUAAACAGGAGCGCGUGGGUUCAAAUCCCAGCCGAGGUA